rnacentral:lncRNA from 1 species
CAAGGAACAGUACUACCAUGGAGCAAAUUGCUUUUUUGCUGACAGCGCCUACCUCCCACAUACCACACCUUUGUUUGCACUUCGUGGCAGCACCUAAACUGCAGCACACAUAUCCUGAUGUAAGCCUGGCAUACCAGAUGGGACACGUUGGCUCUCUCUUAAGAGUUGAAGGCAGAUUUUGUCAUAUUUUUCUACACGUUUUCAUGUGCCAACAACAGGAGCGUGUGAUCCCUAAUUCCCGAGGUACAGCGUUACUCCUCCUCCCACGCCAAGCCUUUUCUGAACAGGUUUAGCCAGCUGUGCAGCUGUAACAGUCAUUUUUCUCUGCUAUCUACAGGCUCUGCAUCUGAUGUUCUGGUUUCCACCAGCUGCUCUUCAGGAAAGGACUACUCAACAUCUGAAAACUGCUGUUCUUUCG